UAAUAUUCCAAGGCGGAGGGGGAGAUAUUACUCCCAAAAUCGCAGAAAGUGUACACCCCCAGGGAUAUUGUUCUCAUGAUCCUGGAGGGAAGAGGAUGAUAUCACUUUAAAUAUCACAGAAGGUGUGCACGCCCCCACUGAUAUCGGUUAUAAUUUCCACGUGGGAGAGGAGGAUGUGACGCCCAAUCACACCUGCAGUAGAAACACAGCUGUGAUACUGUUCUUAAUAUUCAGGGAGGAAGACGAUGAUAUUACUCCCAAAACAGACGGCUGUACACCCUCUGCACACCGAGGGUCUACCCCCAUCUGUGAAAUAGUUUAUAAUUUCCAGAGGGGGAGAUGAUAUCACUCCGAAUAUCGUAAACAGGCUGCUUCGGUAGAUUGCAAAUGACCUGCUUUCUUUCGGAUCCCGGGCUGCUUUCGGACACCUGUCGAAUAGUAAAUCCCAAGUAAGGUACCUGCGGUCGUCGGCAGAUCUGAAUUUUCUUCUUGGACACCUAAUACCCACAGCCCUCCAGAGACCGAGAGGUUGAUGUCACUCCCAAUAUCGGAGGAAGUAUACACCCCCGUGUGAGAUGGUCCUUAAUAAUAUUCCACGGCGGAGGGGGUGAUAUGACUACAUACAUGGCAGAAAGUGGAAA
rnacentral:lncRNA from 10 species